rnacentral:rRNA from 1 species
UCCUGGCUCAGAUUGAACGCUGGCGGCAUGCUUUACACAUGCAAGUCGAACGGUAGAGGGGGCAACCCCUUGAGAGUGGCGAACGGGUGAGUAAUGCAUCGGAACGUGCCCAGUCGUGGGGGGAUAACUACUCGAAAGAGUGGCUAAUACCGCAUACGACCUGAGGGUGAAAAGCGGGGACCGAAAGGCCUCGCGCGAUUGGAGCGGCCGAUGUCAGAUUAGGUAGUUGGUGGGGUAAAGGCCUACCAAGCCUGCGAUCUGUAGCUGGUCUGAGAGGACGACCAGCCACACUGGGACUGAGACACGGCCCAGACUCCUACGGGAGGCAGCAGUGGGGAAUUUUGGACAAUGGGCGCAAGCCUGAUCCAGCCAUGCCGCGUGCGGGAAGAAGGCCUUCGGGUUGUAAACCGCUUUUGUCGGGGAAGAAAUCCUUUGGGUUAAUACCUCGGAGGGAUGACGGUACCUGAAGAAUAAGCACCGGCUAACUACGUGCCAGCAGCCGCGGU